UUAAAUGGCUGCAGUAAUUUGACUGUACAAAGGUAGCAUAAUCAUUAGUUUUUUAAUUAAAAGCUUGAAUGAAAGGUUGGACGAAGUAAAAUCUGUCUCUUUUAAAUAAAAUUAGAAUUUAAUUUUUAAGUUAAAAAGCUUAAAUUUUUAUAAAAGACGAGAAGACCCUAUAGAGUUUAAUAAUUUUUUGGGAAUAAUUAAUUUAGUUUUAUUAAUUUUAUUUUCUAGAAAUUAUUUUAUUGGGGUAAUAAUAAGAUUUAAAUAAUUCUUUUUUUUUUACCAUUAAUUUAUGAAAUGUAUGAUCCAUUAUUUUUAUGAUUAUAAG
rnacentral:rRNA from 1 species